ACAUCCAGCGAACUUGGCAGAGAUGCCUUGGUGCCUUCGGGAACGCUGAGACAGGUGCUGCAUGGCUGUCGUCAGCUCGUGUUGUGAAAUGUUGGGUUAAGUCCCGNAACGAGCGCAACCCUUAUCCUUUGUUGCCAGCGAUUCGGUCGGGAACUCAAAGGAGACUGCCGGUGAUAAACCGGAGGAAGGUGGGGAUGACGUCAAGUCAUCAUGGCCCUUACGAGUAGGGCUACACACGUGCUACAAUGGCGCAUACAAAGAGAAGCGACCUCGCGAGAGCAAGCGGAACCUCAUAAAGUGCGUCGUAGUCCGGAUCGGAGUCUGCAACUCGACUCCGUGAAGUCGGAAUCGCUAGUAAUCGUGGAUCAGAAUGCCACGGUGAAUACGUUCCCGGGCCUUGUACACACCGCCCGUCACACCAUGGGAGUGGGUUGCAAAAGAAGUAGGUAGCUUAACCUUCGGGAGGGCGCUUACCACUUUGUGAUUCAUGACUGGGGUGAAGUCGUAACAAGGUAGGCGUAGCGAG
rnacentral:rRNA from 1 species